rnacentral:rRNA from 1 species
UGACGGUACCUGCAGAAGAAGCACCGGCCAACUACGUGCCAGCAGCCGCGGUAAUACGUAGGGUGCAAGCGUUGUCCGGAAUUACUGGGCGUAAAGAGCUCGUAGGCGGUUUGUCGCGUCGUCUGUGAAAACCAGCAGCUCAACUGUUGGCUUGCAGGCGAUACGGGCAGACUUGAGUAUUUCAGGGGAGACUGGAAUUCCUGGUGUAGCGGUGAAAUGCGCAGAUAUCAGGAGGAACACCGGUGGCGAAGGCGGGUCUCUGGGAAAUAACUGACGCUGAGGAGCGAAAGCGUGGGUAGCGAACAGGAUUAGAUACCCUGGUAGUCCACGCCGUAAACGGUGGGCGCUAGGUGU